CGCUAGCUACAGGCUUAACACAUGCAAGUCGAGGGGCAGCAUGGUCUUAGCUUGCUAAGGCCGAUGGCGACCGGCGCACGGGUGAGUAACACGUAUCCAACCUGCCGUCUACUCUUGGACAGCCUUCUGAAAGGAAGAUUAAUACAAGAUGGCAUCAUGAGUCCGCAUGUUCACAUGAUUAAAGGUAUUCUGGUAGACGAUGGGGAUGCGUUCCAUUAGAUAGUAGGCGGGGUAACGGCCCACCUAGUCUUCGAUGGAUAGGGGUUCUGAGAGGAAGGUCCCCCACAUUGGAACUGAGACACGGUCCAAACUCCUACGGGAGGCAGCAGUGAGGAAUAUUGGUCAAUGGGCGAGAGCCUGAACCAGCCAAGUAGCGUGAAGGAUGACUGCCCUAUGGGUUGUAAACUUCUUUUAUAAAGGAAUAAAGUCGGGUAUGGAUACCCGUUUGCAUGUACUUUAUGAAUAAGGAUCGGCUAACUCCGUGCCAGCAGCCGCGGUAAUACGGAGGAUCCGAGCGUUAUCCGGAUUUAUUGGGUUUAAAGGGAGCGUAGAUGGAUGUUUAAGUCAGUUGUGAAAGUUUGCGGCUCAACCGUAAAAUUGCAGUUGAUACUGGAUAUCUUGAGUGCAGUUGAGGCAGGCGGAAUUCGUGGUGUAGCGGUGAAAUGCUUAGAUAUCACGAAGAACUCCGAUUGCGAAGGGCAGCCUGCUAAGCUGCAACUGACAUUGAGGCUCGAAAGUGUGGGUAUCAAACAGGAUUUAGAUACCCUGGUAGUCCACACGGUAAACGAUGAAUACUCGCUGUUUGCGAUAUACAGCAAGCGGCCAAGCGAAAGCGUUAAGUAUUCCACCUGGGGAGUACGCCGGCAACGGUGAAACUCAAAGGAAUUGACGGGGGCCCGCACAAGCGGAGGAACAUGUGGUUUAAUUCGAUGAUACGCGAGGAACCUUACCCGGGCUUAAAUUGCAGAUGAAUUACGGUGAAAGCCGUAAGCCGCAAGGCAUCUGUGAAGGUGCUGCAUGGUUGUCGUCAGCUCGUGCCGUGAGGUGUCGGCUUAAGUGCCAUAACGAGCGCAACCCCUGUUGUCAGUUACUAACAGGUUCCGCUGAGGACUCUGACAAGACUGCCAUCGUAAGAUGUGAGGAAGGUGGGGAUGACGUCAAAUCAGCACGGCCCUUACGUCCGGGGCUACACACGUGUUACAAUGGGGGGUACAGAGGGCCGCUACCACGCGAGUGGAUGCCAAUCCCAAAAACCUCUCUCAGUUCGGACUGGAGUCUGCAACCCGACUCCACGAAGCUGGAUUCGCUAGUAAUCGCGCAUCAGCCACGGCGCGGUGAAUACGUUCCCGGGCCUUGUACACACCGCCCGUCAAGCCAUGGGAGCCGGGGGUACCUGAAGUGCGUAACCGCGAGGAGCGCCCUAGGGUAAAACUGA
rnacentral:rRNA from 1 species